rnacentral:lncRNA from 1 species
CAAAGAGGCCACGCAGACCUGAGCAGGAGGAAGGAAGGCUGUAGAUCUUCUGUAACUUUCCAGUAAGAACAUGCACCAGGAAACUCUGCAUGAAAUGCUGUUUGCUCUUCUGCUCUGUCUUGCUUGCCUUCUACCUGAGGUCACAAUGGAACAAAAUACUAAGGAAGUCUAUUGUCGCUUCAAUACCACAAUACUGCUGAUGGGGACCAAUCUGAAUGCUUCUUCAGUCUUUAAUGUGGAGUGGCGUGCACAGCUAAAAGGGAGAGAAAAGGUCUCCAUCCUAACAUACUCCCCCGGCUCCAACAACAUCUAUAUUAAUGAAAGUUACAAGAAGAGAGUUGUCUUUUCUCAUACCAGCUUUUCCUUGAUUAUUCAUUAUGUGACUUUAAGCGACGAAGGAGUCUA